rnacentral:rRNA from 1 species
GGAACGACUCUCGGCAACGGAUAUCUCGGCUCUCGCAUCGAUGAAGAACGUAGCGAAAUGCGAUACUUGGUGUGAAUUGCAGAAUCCCGUGAACCAUCGAGUCUUUGAACGCAAGUUGCGCCCGAAGCCUUCCGGCCGAGGGCACGCCUGCCUGGGCGUCACGC